rnacentral:lncRNA from 1 species
CUGGGGCCUCUCCCAGCCUCGGGGCCGGCUGAGCACUGAGCAAGGCCCUGUCCAGGGAGGCCGGGACCACCUCGGCUUCUGGUUUGGACAGUGGGGUUGAUAACCUGGGUCCUGCCCCCUGCCGUGAAGAUCAGGUGCCAUCUUGGUUCCCUGUAACAGCCCAAGUAAGGUGACAGAUGCCCUGAGGUCACAGGGCGCUUUCACAAACAGUGUCUGUUGACCUCUUGGCAGGCGGAGCAGGGACUGUUGUCUUCAGCUUACAGAAUGGAACAGAGGCCUUCAGAGAGAGAAAGCCGCCCAGUUCACCCAGAAUAAGAAGUCAGAAUGUCUGGCUUCCAGUCCUGUGCACGCCCUCUUGGUCUACGCUGCCCCCUGCUGCUGCCUUUAGCCAAACCACAGAAGACUGAGAAACUCCAGGAGCACAAGGGAAGAGAACUAUUCCAGAAAGCUAAGCCAAGGCGUUUGCUGGCUUAAACAUCGGUCAUGGCUUUGAGCUUCCUGGCAGCCAAAGGAAAAAGGAAAUGCAGUCAGUGGCCAGGCUGUCUGUUAUGGAGCAGAGGAAACUUAAAAAACAGAGACAUGCUCCGGAUAACAGGAAAAGAGGGGUGGAACGAGAUCUUACGAUACACCAUUUGUUCAUGCACUGACAAUGUAGGGAACGCCCCCAAAUUCUCACACCGCAGGGGUCUUGUACUUGGAACUGUCUUUCUGAAAGGGUCACCCCCAGCUCUAGCCGGGAGGCUGCUGCCUGGGUGACAGGCCCCUCCAGGAGCAGGGGAGACGGCGGGCAGGGCUUGACCCCCGGAGAAGAGAACUUCAGGGAGAGACCACGGUGUCGCGGGCCAACAGCCUGAGCUCUGGAGACUCACGGGUCCAGUUUUCUGAGACUUCCCAUCCACCAUCAUCAGUCGAAGGACACUGUCCUCACUUCCUGGGGACAAAGGACCACAUCCAGGUGGCUGAGAACAGAAGUGAACUCUCUCGCAGGACUGGACUCCGGGGGUCCCAGAGCAAGUCGGCAGAAGAGACUGUCUCCCUCUGGGGACUCUGGAGCGGACCCUGCCUGGCCUCUUGCCAGUCUCGGUCGGUCGACCUGCGGCUGCCCCUCCAGCCUCUGCCUCGUGUCCACGCAGCCCUCUUCUCUGUGCGUCUCUGAGUCUCUGUCUGUGUUUUCUGAUAAAGACACUGGACAUUGGGUUCAGGAUGCACUGUCACCCAGGUCACCCUUAUCCCAACUAAUUGCAUCUGCAAGUAAGGGCCACGUUCUACAAUUCUGGGUGGUCAGGAAUUUUGGAGGGAACACUAUUUAAGCCCCACAAACAGCU